AGGAAGGGGAGGGAUUC
rnacentral:tRNA from 12 species